CCCUUGUGCAGAGGGUCAGCAGAGGUUACCUGUGACAACGGUGACUCCCAUGUGGAGCUGGGCUGUGCUGCUUAGCUCAGACUGCCUCCCAAACUCAACUCCUCCACACAUCUCAGAUCUGAUUAACAAUGGCUUCCUAUGCUGGGCUCGGUGGUGCACACUUGUAAUCCCAGCACUUGGGAGGCUGAAGCAGGAGGAUCACUGUGAGUUUGAUGUCAGCCUAGGCGACAUGGUGAGUUCUUCAAGUGACAGAAAGUCAACUGAGAAGGCCGAUGACAGAAGAGUGGAUUGGAAUUAAGAGAGCAUUGGCAAACAACGCGCAGACACGGCUGAUCUUCCUUUCACCGCCUCCUUUUUUCUCCAUACUCUGUCCCCACUCACUAGACAUGUUCUGGCUCCUUUGGCGCUGCAGGGAGCAAGGGGAUGUCACACGGGGAGAAGCAGUGAAGACCAGGAGGCCCUGUGGCCUCUGAAGUCCACAAAAUGAAUGACUGCAUCUCACUGCCCCUGCAGGCUGCACCCUACCUCCUCUGAGCCAGCUGUCACAGCGCUGUGUUAGCAGAUAACCUGGAGUGUGCGCCUUGCUGGCACGACUAACGUUUUCUGGCUGUGUGCCCAGGGACGGACUAUUAUCAGCUGGUAUAGACAACCUGAUUACUUCCAUAUUUUGCCUUUUCUUCUUUUAUUUUGGCUUAUCCUUUGAAUAUUUUUUGAGCUCUAGUCUAGUCAAAACACUCUAGCCAAUCCCAACCUCAGAAUGCGCAAGACCCAACAUCAACAAUUUAGAAGAGAACUGUAAGUCAACCAGCAGAAUCCAUCUUUCUGUCAGCCACUUCUCUGGAAAUCUUCCAAUGUGCAGUUUUGGUUAGUGACCAGAUUAAGAAACUCCGUGGCCACCCCCAAGGGGCUCCAUCAGGCACCACAUUUAAUGAACCUCCAUUAUUAGGUUCCCACAAGUGGAAUUUGUUGGUCAAGUUGCAUAAUACUCAUCGGGCACUGUGUUAGUUAGGAUAGGAAUUGCUGGCUGCUAUAAUAAUCUCCAGAUCACAGUGGCUUAACCCAAUAGAAGUGUCUAUCUUAUCACAUAAAUGUUAAUCAGGAGUCUUAGCAAGGCUACCUUCCAGGUGGGGGAUUCAGGGGUCCAGAUUCCUUCCAUCUUGCUGCACCACCUCUGUCCCUGGGCCCACAGUCAGAAGACGUUAGUCCUAACAGCAAGGUGCACACUCCAGGUUCUCUCUAACACAGAGCUGUGACAGUGGCUCAGUGUGAGGAAAGAGAAUAUGGAAUUCUGCAGGGUUGGCCCUGGAAGUGCAUCCACCUCCUUGUCUCACUUGCCAGUAAGUGGAACUCAGGUACAUGGCCAUAAUCACCACAGGAGAGACCAGGAAAGGUGACUUAGCAGUAUCCCCAGAGGAAAUGAAUAAUCUAUCAAAAACACUUACUUGCGUCAGGUGCCAUAUA